rnacentral:rRNA from 1 species
AGAGUUUGAUCCUGGCUCAGGAUGAACGCUAGCGGCAGGCUUAACACAUGCAAGUCGAGGGGCAGCGCGAGAUAACAAUACCAUGGCGGCGACCGGCGCACGGGUGCGUAACGCGUAUGCAACCUGCCUGUAACAGGGGGAUAACCCGGAUAAAUUUGGACUAAUACCCCAUAUAGCCGCGUGGCAGCAUUGUUGUGCGACGAAAGGAGCAAUCCGGUUACAGAUGGGAAUACGUGACAUAAUGUAUUGGGGGGGGCAACAGCCCCCCCAGCCGACAAUAUCUAGGGGAACUGAGAGGUUAAUCCCCCACACUGGGACUGAGACACAGACCACACCCCUACAGGAGGCACCACUGAGGAAUAUUGGGCAAUGGGCGGAAGACUGAACCCCCCAUGCCGCGUGAGGGAGGAAGGCCCUCAGUUGGUUGUAAACCUCUUUUACGGGGGAGCAAUAAGUCCGACGCGUCCGUCGAUGAGAGUACCCCGGGAAUAAGCAUUGGCUAACUCCGUGCCAGCAGCCGCGGUAAUUCGGAGGAUGCGAGCGUUAUCCGGAUUUAUUGGGUUUAAAGGGUGGGUAGGCGGAUCGGUAAGUCAGCGGUGAAAUGUCCCGGCUCAACCGGGUCACUGCCGUUGAUACUGCCGGUCUGGAGUACAAACGGCGCAGGCGGAAUGUGUCAUGUAGCGGUGAAAUGCUUAGAUAUGACGAAGAACUCCGAUUGCGAGGCAGCCAUCUGGGGUGCGAUUGACGCUGAGGCUCGAAAGUGCGGGUAUCAAACAGGAUUAGAUACCCUGGUAGUCCGCACAGUAAACGAUGGGAUGCUCGUUUUGGGCGACAGACAGUCCGGGACCAAGGGAAACCAUUAAGCAUCCCACCUGGGGAGUACGCCGGCAACGGUGAAAACUCAAAGGAAUUGACGGGGGCCCGCACAAGCGGAGGAACAUGUGGUUUAAUUCGAUGAUACGCGAGGAACCUUACCCGGGCUUGAAAUGUACCUGACGGCGGAGAGAGACCUUCGCUUCCUUCGGGCAGGUAUGUAGGUGCUGCAUGGUUGUCGUCAGCUCGUGCCGUGAGGUGUCGGCUUAAGUGCCAUAACGAGCGCAACCCUUGCCGUCAGUUGCCAUCACGUAGAGGUGGGCACUCUGAGGGGACUGCCAUCGCAAGAUGUGAGGAAGGUGGGGAUGACGUCAAAUCAGCACGGCCCUUACGUCCGGGGCUACACACGUGUUACAAUGGGGGGCACAGCGCGCCGCUACCCGGCGACGGGAUGCGAAUCGUGAAAUCCCCUCUCAGUUCGGACCGGAGUCUGCAACCCGACUCCAAGAAGCUGGAUUCGCUAGUAAUCGCGCAUCAGCCAUGGCGCGGUGAAUACGUUCCCGGGCCUUGCACUCAAAGCCCGUCA